rnacentral:rRNA from 1 species
UUGAAAGACCGGUUCCCGUACGAUCAUCGAAGUUAAGCAACGUUGAGCCUGAUCAGUACCUAGAUGGGUGACCGCUUGGGAAUGCCAGGUACAGUA